rnacentral:rRNA from 1 species
UAGUAUCGGAACGUGCCCAGUCGUGGGGGAUAACUGCUCGAAAGAGCAGCUAAUACCGCAUACGACCUGAGGGUGAAAGCGGGGGAUCGCAAGACCUCGCGCGAUUGGAGCGGCCGAUAUCAGAUUAGGUAGUUGGUGAGGUAAAGGCUCACCAAGCCGACGAUCUGUAGCUGGUCUGAGAGGACGACCAGCCACACUGGGACUGAGACACGGCCCAG